GGUCUGUUUUUGAACAUGUGGCCCACUUGAUCCUGGAUGUGGGUUCACUUGUGAAGUCUUUUACAUGGUUUCUUCUAAUUUAGAUUUACUAACUUGUGACCUCUUUUGUUUGUGAAAGCACUCAACUACAAAUAACAUUUAUUAAUACUUACCUUUUAUUAGGACCUGAAGACUCUUCAUUUCUUCUGCAGUUGAUUGUUGGGCCAGUUUGUGGAAGUUUACUGAUUAUUCUCCUGCUGCUGUUGUGUUGCUACAGAAAGUCAAAGGAUUCAAAUUUUGCCAGGACCCCACAGAGAACCAAUCCGGGCUCUGC